rnacentral:lncRNA from 1 species
GCAUCUUGUAGACAUCUCUCCUCAGCUUUGGAUCUGUGCCCUUUUCCUUAUAUUAGUUGAAGGAGCCCUAUAUAGGAUUUAGGAGAUUGAUCCUAACCAUCAAAAAAAAUCAAGAACCCUUCUUGAUUUUCUUUUCCUCUCUUUAAGGCUUCUCUAGAUCUCUAUCUGGAGUUGGAACAGGGGUGUGGAAAGGAGGGGACAAGGAGUUGUUGGCGUGGAUGAGAAAGAGGGAACA